UUCCGUCAUUGACCUCUUCCCUCU
rnacentral:siRNA from 1 species